AGAGUUUGAUCAUGGCUCAGGACGAACGCUGGCGGCGUGCCUAACACAUGCAAGUCGAGCGAGGACGGUGCCUUCGGGUGCCGAGCCGAGCGGCGGACGGGUGCGUAACACGUGAGCAACCUGACCUGGUGCGGGGGAUAACCCGGGGAAACCCGGGCUAAUACCGCAUGGGCCUCUGGCUCGCAUGGGCUGGGGGGGAAAGGCGGCCUCUUCAUGAAAGCUGCCGUGCCGGGAGGGGCUCGCGGCCUAUCAGCUAGUUGGUGGGGUAACGGCCCACCAAGGCUUUGACGGGUAGCGGGUCUGAGAGGACGGCCCGCCACAUUGGGACUGAGACACGGCCCAGACUCCUACGGGAGGCAGCAGUGGGGAAUCUUGCGCAAUGGCCGAAAGGCUGACGCAGCGACGCCGCGUGCGGGAGGAAGCCCUUCGGGGUGUAAACCGCUGUCACCGGGGACGAAUGGUGUGGGGGCGAACAGUCUUCACACGUGACGGUACCCGGGGAGGAAGCGCCGGCUAACUCCGUGCCAGCAGCCGCGGUA
rnacentral:rRNA from 1 species